rnacentral:rRNA from 1 species
AACGAACGCUGGCGGCAUGCCUAACACAUGCAAGUCAAACGAGAUCUUCGGGUCUAGUGGCGCACGGGUGCGUAACGCGUGGGAAUCUGCUCUUUGGUUCGGAAUAACAGUUGGAAACGACUGCUAAUACCGGAUGAUGACGAAAGUCCAAAGAUCUAUCGCCAGAGGAUGAGCCCGCGUAGGAUUAGCUAGUUUGUGUGGUAAAGGCGCACCAAGGCGACGAUCCUUAGCUGGUCUGAGAGGAUGAUCAGCCACACUGGGACUGAGACACGGCCCAGACUCCUACGGGAGGCAGCAGUGGGGAAUAUUGGACAAUGGGCGAAAGCCUGAUCCAGCAAUGCCGCGUGAGUGAUGAAGGCCUUAGGGUUGUAAAGCUCUUUUACCCGGGAUGAUAAUGACAGUACCGGGAGAAUAAGCUCCGGCUAACUCCGUGCCAGCAGCCGCGGUAA